GGGACACGUGGUAUCCUGUCUGAAUAUGGGGGGACCAUCCUCCAAGGCUAAAUACUCCUGACUGACCGAUAGUGAACCAGUACCGUGAGGGAAAGGCGAAAAGAACCCCGGCGAGGGGAGUGAAAAAGAACCUGAAACCGUGUACGUACAAGCAGUGGGAGCACGCUUAGGCGUGUGACUGCGUACCUUUUGUAUAAUGGGUCAGCGACUUAUAUUCUGUAGCAAGGUUAACCGAAUAGGGGAGCCGAAGGGAAACCGAGUCUUAACUGGGCGUUAAGUUGCAGGGUAUAGACCCGAAACCCGGUGAUCUAGCCAUGGGCAGGUUGAAGGUUGGGUAACACUAACUGGAGGACCGAACCGACUAAUGUUGAAAAAUUAGCGGAUGACUUGUGGCUGGGGGUGAAAGGCCAAUCAAACCGGGAGAUAGCUGGUUCUCCCCGAAAGCUAUUUAGGUAGCGCCUCGUGAAUUCAUCUCCGGGGGUAGAGCACUGUUUCGGCAAGGGGGUCAUCCCGACUUACCAACCCGAUGCAAACUGCGAAUACCGGAGAAUGUUAUCACGGGAGACACACGGCGGGUGCUAACGUCCGUCGUGAAGAGGGAAACAACCCAGACCGCCAGCUAAGGUCCCAAAGUCAUGGUUAAGUGGGAAACGAUGUGGGAAGGCCCAGACAGCCAGGAUGUUGGCUUAGAAGCAGCCAUCAUUUAAAGAAAGCGUAAUAGCUCACUGGUCGAGUCGGCCUGCGCGGAAGAUGUAACGGGGCUAAACCAUGCACCGAAGCUGCGGCAGCGACGCUUAUGCGUUGUUGGGUAGGGGAGCGUUCUGUAAGCCUGUGAAGGUGUGCUGUGAGGCAUGCUGGAGGUAUCAGAAGUGCGAAUGCUGACAUAAGUAACGAUAAAGCGGGUGAAAAGCCCGCUCGCCGGAAGACCAAGGGUUCCUGUCCAACGUUAAUCGGGGCAGGGUGAGUCGACCCCUAAGGCGAGGCCGAAAGGCGUAGUCGAUGGGAAACAGGUUAAUAUUCCUGUACUUGGUGUUACUGCGAAGGGGGGACGGAGAAGGCUAUGUUGGCCGGGCGACGGUUGUCCCGGUUUAAGCGUGUAGGCUGGUUUUCCAGGCAAAUCCGGAAAAUCAAGGCUGAGGCGUGAUGACGAGGCACUACGGUGCUGAAGCAACAAAUGCCCUGCUUCCAGGAAAAGCCUCUAAGCAUCAGGUAACAUCAAAUCGUACCCCAAACCGACACAGGUGGUCAGGUAGAGAAUACCAAGGCGCUUGAGAGAACUCGGGUGAAGGAACUAGGCAAAAUGGUGCCGUAACUUCGGGAGAAGGCACGCUGAUAUGUAGGUGAAGCGACUUGCUC
rnacentral:rRNA from 1 species